rnacentral:sRNA from 1 species
GACAGAGCUUGCAGCCCACUCCUCCUCCCAGGGCUGCUUGCACAAGCAGCGGCGCUCCUCCUCCUAGUCGCUGCUUCGAUAUUGAAAGCCUGCCGCACCUCCUCCCGCGGCAGGCUUUUUUC